AGGACGAACGCUGGCGCGUGCCUAAUACAUGCAAGUCGAACGGUCUUUCUAUGGAAGCUUGCUUCCACUGAGAAGAUAGUGGCGAACGGGUGAGUAACACGUGGGUAACCUGCCCAUAAGAGGGGGGAUAACAUCCGGAAACGGGUGCUAAUACCGCAUAGUUUUCUUGAUCGCAUGAUCGGGAAAGGAAAGACGGCCUUUGUGCUGUCGCUUAUGGAUGGACCCGCGGCGUAUUAGUUAGUUGGUGAGGUAACGGCUCACCAAGACGAUGAUACGUAGCCGACCUGAGAGGGUGAUCGGCCACAUUGGGACUGAGACACGGCCCAAACUCCUACGGGAGGCAGCAGUAGGGAAUCUUCCGCAAUGGACGAAAGUCUGACGGAGCAACGCCGCGUGAGUGAAGAAAGGUUUUCGGAUCGUAAAACUCUGUUGUCAGAGAAGAACAAGUUGGAGAGUAACUGCUCCAGCCUUGACGGUAUCUGACCAGAAAGCCACGGCUAACUACGUGCCAGCAGCCGC
rnacentral:rRNA from 1 species